CUGGAGUACUGUGGCGCGAUCUGGACUCACUGCAACCUCCGCCUCCCGAGUUUAAGUGAUUCUCCUGCCUCAGCCUUCCAAGGAGCUGGGAUUACAGGCACCCACCCCCAUGGCUGGCUAAUUUUUUGUAUUUUUAGUAGAGACAGGGUUUUACCAUGUUGGCCAGGCUGGUCUCGAACUCCUGACCUCAGGUGAUCCGCCUGUCUUGGCCUCCCAAACUGCUGGGAUUACAGGCGUGAUCCACCACGCCCGGCCUUUAGUAGGUUUUGGUUGUCUUUUUUUUUUUUUUUUUGAGACAGGGUCUCACUCUGUCAUCCAGGCUGGAGCGCAGUGGUGUGAUCAUGGCUCACUGCAGCCUUGACCUCCUGGCCUCAAGUGAUCCUCUCACCUCAGCCUCUCGAGUAGCUGGGAUUACAGGCAUAUGCCACCACCCUGGCUAAUUUUUAUAUUAUUUAGUGGAGUCGGGGUUUUGCCAUGUUGCCCAGGUUGGUUUUGAACUCCUGGGCUCAACAGUCCACCCACCUUGGCCUCCCAAAGUGUUGGGGUUACAGGCGUGAACCACCACGCCUUGGCCUAGUAGGUUUUCUAGAAGCACCUGAGGCCUUGUGAAAGCAUGGUGUCAUGGAGUAGAGGACAUUCAACUCUGUUCCCAGGGAGCCCAAACACACCCCCUGCAGCCAAUCUCAACAGUCAUGAGAUGGCCAGGAUGAUGUGGGGAGGGGGUGGUGUGAACUGUGUGGGAGGCCAGCCCCCCUGGGAAGGGGGCUGGAGUGGGCUUGGCUUUGAGGAGGAUUCACAAGAGGAGGAGGAGGCGGUGGCAUGCUCGUUUGGGGGCAUGGCCUGAGCCAGGGUGGGCACCUCUUCGUUUAGGUGUCACCUUCUUGACAUUCCAGCCGGGACAUGGUUUCCUUGGGGAAGAUGGACACCUCCAGAAUGGGACAUCUUCUGUUCUCACUGUUCUCCCAGCACACGGUUGUAUUCUCUCGCAGUUCUGGAGGCUGCGAGAUCUCCUGGCUGUUAUCUAGAACAAACCCACCUUUGAGCAGCGCCGCCCUGAUGGUGGGGUGGUCCCUGCGGGGGGAACAGCCCCUGCUCUCUCAGAGCUUACUUAGAGCUAGUGGGCAUGGGGGUGGUGCUAGAUGGAACACCCAGAUAGAUCAUAGAGCUGGACAGUAAGCACAGAGGCCAGCCAGUGGGGACGGAGGGACCCAUCCAUGAAAAGACACCAAGCAUUGAAAGAGAUGAGAGGACGGCUGGGGACUGGUACACAUGUUCAUUUUGCGCAGAUGGCCAAGGUGGUGAGGCGCCAGCCACGCAGACAACUGGAGGAAGGAGGAGUGCCUUGGGGGAGGGGCUGGCUCUGGUUCUAGAAUGAUCCGCUUGUGCGUGUUGGUCUGGCUGGAAUAAAUCACUGCAUCCACACUGUAGACUCAAUUGUAAGCUCACACCAGGGAGGGCUUUGCUUUGGUGCAGGGUCCUGAAUCAUGAGUCGGCCACUGGGGGGUGUCUCCAAGGGGACUCCCCAAGGAGGGGAUUCAACGGAUCUCCCAGGGAAGGUCGUUUGUUUUCUUGGGUUGGACCUGGGACAAGGCCUUCUCUUGUCUAGUUUCUGUUCUCCAACUUGGCCACACGGAAGGAUGUUGAGGACACCUGGAAGCCGGCCUCUGCUCUACAACGCCCAUAAGACAGCGGCACACCAUGUGGGGACAGUUUAUACAGUGCUCAGGAGGCAGGGGGCAGAUCAGAGGACCGUGGGAGGCCCUGGGAACCACACGAGGACCCAGGCAUUAAGCUUUGCACUUUCUGGCAUCAGCCCAUUGUACAGUCUGGCUCUGUGUCUACCCCAUGCCUCACUUUCCCCAUCUGUAUGGGGGGUAAUAAUAUCCUUUACAGCCCAGGUUUAAGCGGGUGUAGAUGUAAUGAGCUAGGUAAGCCCAUCUUAUGACAUUCAGUUUUGGGCAUUGAACUCUGGGCUUUCUGGCUGGUAGAAGUGGACAUUCAAUCUUCCCUUGGAGCCCUGGGGCUUCUGCAGAAUCUGAACAGAGCCAGCAGGUUGCAUGCAGUGGCAGAGGGGCGGAGUGGCACCAUGGUGGGAGCCCAUACCUGGCACACCCCUGAUCCUGGGGCUCAGGAUCCUGCUGCCCUGCAGCCAUGCGAUCAGUCAGAGGUCAUGGCUGGACCCACAAGCGAAUACAGCCUGUGGAUUUGAUUUUGUUUGGCCCUGUGGUGUUUUAUUUUAUUUUUAGUUUUAGUUUUUGGAGACAGAGUCUCGCUCUCUCACUCAGGCCGAGUGCAGUGACAUGAUCUCAGCUUUGCAACCUCUGCCUCCUGGGUUCAAGCGAUUCUCCUGCCCCAGCCUCCCGAGCAGCUGGGACUAUAGGUGAGCGUCGCCGUGCCCAGUUAAUUUUUUAUUUUUAGUAAAGUGGGGUUUCACCAUGUCAGCCAGGCUGCUUGGUGUUUUAAAAAGGGCUUGUUUUGUUUUAUGCUAGCGUUUAAGGAUCAGGAGAUAUCAUAUAAAGAUCCAGAUUUCUACUCUCUUGAGAAUUGAACAGCUCUGGCCACGCCAGGCCCAUAUCCUCUAGGGCAGUGAUGGAGCUGAGACAGGGCCUGGGACAACUGAGAGUUCCCUGGAGUCCACGCGGCUCCUUGCCCAGCUUCUGGUGGAGGCUGAGCUUAGUGACCCAGGAUUUUGUCUGUGUCCACCAAGAAGGAGAGGUGCCCAUGGCUUAGAGAGGGCGCCCACAGGAGUGCCUUGCCCAGGAAGCUGGCAGCUGAAGCAGCCAGGAUUAGGGGGUUGGGCUUCCUCUUCCCCUCCCCAGUGCCAGAGUGCAUUUGGAGGAAGAGAGACAGGUGAGGGGAAGGCACUGAAAUGGUCCUGGAGAGCUAUUGUUGGGGGCUGGGGACCAGCUGUCAUCCCUUUUCCUGUGGGCAGGGGAGGCAGUGGUGGGAUCCCAUGAGACCUGGACUCUGGCCUGGUGAGGCAGGGAGCGCCUGGGGAAGGCACUGUGGGUCUCCAGGGGGGCUUUGCUGGGGGAGCUGUGCUGGGAGCCUGGCCUAGGGAAGGAGCUGGUGAAUGUGCCUGCCAUGUGGGCCCCUCCCUGCUCUGGCCCUAAUAACCAGGAGCAGCUGGCUCUCAUUUGGAGUGCGGUUGUGGGGACUGUGGAGGUGGCAACUUCCCAGGUACCAUCCCCACUGCCUCCGAGGGAGCAGACCCUGGUGCCUCCAAGAGGCAGGAUGGCUGCAGGGUGGGAGCUGGGUGGUUGGCAUCCCUGCAUGGGUUUGAAGUAUUGGAUGGGAAGAUGCAGGAGAGGCUGAUGACUGAGAAAGUUGGUUCCUGUGGACUAAGCUGGGGGAGCCAGACAACCAAGUGAUUAGAACCUUGGGCUCUGGUAUCAGCCUGAUGUACAGUCUGGCUUUGGUCUACCCCAUGCCUCACUUUCCCCAUCUGUACUGGGGGUAUUGGUAUUUUUUACGUUCCAGGGUUGAGCGGCUGUAGAUGUGAUGAGCGCGGUAAGCCCGGCGCCUCGCCGGCACUGAAAGCUCCAGUGUUCACUCUUGGUGUCCUUGAUGGGGUUUUCUCCUCACUGUGGUUCUGAUUGGUUACAGUUGUGGUCACUUAUUGUUGGAGGUGUGUCCCCCACUGUGGCUGGUGGUAGAGGUGUUUGCUGCUGGUGUCUGGGUGUGUGCCUUGGCUGGAGGUGAGGAGGGAUAAAAACAGCUGCGACAAGAAGGAAAUCAAGGCCGGGCGUGGUGGCUCACGCCUGUAAUCCCAGCACUUUGGGAGGCUGAGGUGGGUGGAUCACUUGAGGUCAGGAGGCUGAGACCAGACUGACCAACAUGGUGAAACCCCGUCUCUACUAAAAAUACAAAAAUUAGCCAGGCAUGGUGGCCCGUGCCUAUAAUCCCAGCUACUGGGGAGGCUGAGGUAGGAGAAUUGCUUGAACCCAGGAGGUGCCAUUGCACUCCAGCCAGGGCAACCGAUCAAGACUCCAUCUCAAAAAAAAAAAAAAAAA
rnacentral:lncRNA from 1 species